AUUGACCGCUGGCCGCAGGCCUAACACAUGCAAGUCGAACGAGCGGCGGACGGGUGAGUAAUGUCUGGGAAACUGCCCGAUGGAGGGGGAUAACUACUGGAAACGGUAGCUAAUACCGCAUACUAUCGGAUGUGCCCAGAUGGGAUUAGCUAGUAGGUGGGGUAACUGCGCACCUAGGCAUCGAUCCCUAGCUGGUCUGAGAGGAUGCCCAGCCACACUGGGACUGAGAAACGGUCCAGACUCCUACGGGAGGCAGAAGGGGGGAAUAUUGCACAAUGGGCGCAAGCCUGAUGCAGCCAUGCCGCGUGUAUGAAGAAGGCCUGCGGGUUGUAAAGUACUUUCAGCGGGGAGGCGUUACCCGCAGAAGAAGCACCGGCUAACUCCGUGCCAGCAGCCGCGGUAAUUC
rnacentral:rRNA from 1 species